GUUAUUAUCUACAGUAGCUCCAAUGUAACUUGGUUUAAAGGACCUCAGUGUUUCAACAGUUUUGCAGUUUUCUGGAUGUUUGUUCCAGAUUAGUAGAGAACAGAAACAGAAUUUUAUUCAAAGACUAGAACCAGAAGA